UGGGGAAUAUUGGACAAUGGGCGAAAGCCUGAUCCAGCCAUGCCGCGUGUGUGAAGAAGGUCUUCGGAUUGUAAAGCACUUUAAGUUGGGAGGAAGGGCAGUAAGCGAAUACCUUGCUGUUUUGACGUUACCGACAGAAUAAGCACCGGCUAACUCUGUGCCAGCAGCCGCGGUAAUACAGAGGGUGCAAGCGUUAAUCGGAAUUACUGGGCGUAAAGCGCGCGUAGGUGGUUCGUUAAGUUGAAUGUGAAAGCCCCGGGCUCAACCUGGGUACUGCAUCCAAAACUUGCGAGCUAGAGUAGGGCAGAGGGUGGUGGAAGUUCCUGUGUAGCGGUGAAAUGCGUAGAUAUAGGAAGGAACACCAGUGGCGAAGGCGACCACCUGGGCUCAUACUGACACUGAGGUGCGAAUGCGUGGGGAGCAAACAGG
rnacentral:rRNA from 1 species